rnacentral:rRNA from 1 species
GGAUGCCUUGGCAUGCUUAGCCGAUGAAGGACGUGUGAGGCUGCGUUAUGCCUCGGGGAGUUGCCAACAAAGCGUUGAUCCGAGGAUGUCCGAAUGGGGAAACCUGGCACUUGUUAUGGAGUGUUACCUGCAGAUGAAUGUAUAGUCUGUGUGGGGGUUACGCGGGGAAGUGAAACAUCUCAGUACCCGUAGGAGAAGAAAACAAUUGUGAUUCUGCUAGUAGUGGCGAGCGAACGUGGAUGAGGCUAAACCAUGCGUGUGUGAUACCUGGCAGGGGUUGCGCGUGUGGUGUUGUGGGCGAUGAUUGUGGGUAUGCUGCCAUGUACCCCUAUGAUGCGGCGUGUUAGCGGAAGUCACCUGGGAUGGUGUGCCGGAGAGGGUGAGAGCCCCUGUACGUGAAGGCGUGUCGUGUUGUGGUGAUUGUUUGCCCGAGUAGCAGUGGGCUCGUGGAAUCUGCUGUGAAUCUGCCGGGACCACCCGGUAAGCCUAAAUACUAAGUGUGACCGAUAGUGAAUAAGUACCGUGAGGGAAUGGUGAAAAGUACCCCGGGAGGGGAGUGAAAGAGUUCCUGAAACCGUGCGCUUACAAUCCGUCAGAGCACCGUUUGUGUGUGAUGGCGUGCCUUUUGAAGAAUGAGCCUGCGAGUCAGCGGCAUGUCGCGAGGUUAACCCGUUAUGUGGGGUAGUCGUAGCGAAAGCGAAUCCUAAUUGGGUGUUGUAAGUGGCAUGUCCUGGACCCGAAGCGGGGUGAUCU